rnacentral:rRNA from 1 species
AUGGCAGCGCUGGUGGAGAGGUGGGCGGGGUUGGGGUCGGCCAUGGCGAGCAUCAUCUUCCUGUGGUCCAUGGUGCAGAACCACAUCCCGGUUACCCUCCGCCUCUACCUCACCGCCUGGGCCGCCAAGCUCGUCGCCUGCUUCAGCCCCUACCUCCAGAUCACCAUCUUGGAGAACAGCGCCGAGCGCUUUCAGCAAAGCGAGUUCUUCUACGCCGUUGAGGCCUACCUCAGCGACGCCUGCGCCCACCGCGCCAGCAGGCUCAAGGCCGAGCUCGGGAGCGACAGCAGCAACCUCCAGGUCUCUGUGGACGACCAUGAGGAGGUCACCGAUGAGUUCUCUGGUGUGACGCUCUGGUGGUACGCUUCCAAGAAGCAUUCCAAGGGGAAUGUCAUCAGCUUCUACCCUGGCGAGGAUGAGAGACGCUUCUACAAGGUCGUCUUCCACAGAAGCCACCGUGACCUCAUCGUCGACUCCUACCUGCCCUUUGUCCUCGCCGAGGGACGCGCCGUCAUCGUCAAGAACCGCCAGCGCCGCCUCUUCACCAACUGUGGCGGUAGACGGAGGCGCUACCUUCGCAAUAGCGUUUGGGACCAUGUUAAGUUUGAACACCCGGCCACGUUCGACACGCUCGCCAUGGACACCGACCAGAAGGAGGCCAUCAUGGACGACCUCAUCGCGUUCAAGGAUGGCAAGGAGUACUACACAAAGGUUGGCAAGCCAUGGAAGCGGGGGUACCUAUUGUACGGCCCGCCCGGCACCGGCAAGUCCACCAUGAUUGCCACCAUGGCCAAUUUCCUUGAUUACGACGUCUACGACCUCGAGCUUACGUCGGUCAAGAACAAUACCGAGUUGCGAAAGCUCUUCAUCGAGAUGACAAGCAAGUCCAUCAUCGUCAUCGAGGACAUCGAUUGCUCCAUCGACCUCACUGGUAAGCGCCGCAAGGACAAGAAGGCCUCUAGUAACAAGGACUCUGACAAUGAAUAUGAACCCGACCCGACGGAGCCGCGGAAGGACGAUGAAAGCAAGGUGACGCUCUCAGGCCUACUCAACUUCAUCGACGGGCUAUGGUCAGCAAGCGGCGGUGAGCGGAUCUUCAUCUUCACCACCAACCAUAAGGAGAAGCUGGACCCGGCGCUAAUUCGGCGGGGUAGGAUGGACAAACACAUCGAGAUGUCCUACUGCCGCUUUGAGGGCUUCAAGGUGCUCGCCAAGAACUACCUAGAUAUCGUCGAGCAUGUGUUGUUUGGCGAGAUCCGGCAGCUGCUCGAAGAGACCGACAUGUCACCGGCCGACGUGGCAGAGAACCUGAUGCCCAUGUCAAAGAAGAAAAAGAAGGACCCGAACAUGUGCUUGGCAGGCCUCAUCGCGGCGCUCAAACAAGCCAAGAAAGACGCGGUCACGACUGCAGCAGUGGCAAAGGCGAAGGAGGAAGAGGAGGCAGAAGCAAAGAAAGCCAAGGAGAAAGAGGAACCGAAGGAAGAUAAAUGA